AUUUAUAUAAUAUAAUAAGUAUAUUUAAUUUCCAAUUAAAAAGUUUAAUUUUUAUUAAUAUAAAUA
rnacentral:tRNA from 1 species